AGAGUGCGUGGCGUGCAUUGUUAUUGUUGUUGUGGAUCGAGUGGAGUGAAGUGUGAGAAUUAAAGAAAAGAAAAUGGAAUUGAAAAAAGUGAUGAAAGACAAGAAAUUCUGGUUUGCAUCUUUCCUUAUCACCUGGGCAGCUGCUCUCCAGGGACACAUGAUGUGGUUACAGCGCCAAGAUUCCUUCAAGCAAAAGUUCCCUGACCUUGAUCCUUCCGAAACCACCAAUCAUAAUUGAUUUCUAUUCAAUUCUAUCUUUCUAUCAUUUCAUUUCAUAUUUGUAUAUUCACAACUUCAUUCAUGCUCUGCGCUUAUUAUAUAUUAUGUACUGUAAUUCUUGUUUUCACUUCUCUCUUAAUAAUAAGUUAUUAUGAUUCGCAUUUUUCAUUCUUAUUUUCGCUCAUGUCUAUUUUGACUACAUCCCCUUGAUUCAUUAGUUUAGUGCUAAGUCACACAACACAUCACAAUUUGUUUCAUACUUCACUUCUCAUGUUAUACUACACCCUUUCAAUGUCUUUUGUCUUCCCUAAACAAGAGUACUGAUGAAAUAGAGUUUAUCUUUUAUUCUUGUUACAUCUCUUUAGGCACAUAGACAGAGACAAAUGAACCAUGAAUCUCAUUGAUUAGCAUUUGAAGCAGUGAUAUUAAGUUGAUAUUUGUAGGUCAUCCCAAUUGCAUUUAAUAUUUAUAGAUUGGUAGGGUGGAUUGAACCCAAAAUUUAGUGUGAUACAUUCAAUUGCUCAACAAAUUCAAUUUUUUUUUAAGUCAUCAUUAUUAUUAGGCUCGAUUGUUUUUUUAUUUGUGUAUAUAACUUCUAACUUCAUAAAAUUAGAAAAUUUUGAUUGUGGUAACUUCAUUUGUGGCGGAAAAUGUAAUUUCUCCUAAUAGCUUUGAAAAUUGCUUAUGUGUUGAAGACAAAAACCAUGACACUAUUGCAGAAAGCUGAGUCCAGAGAGUUGUAAAAGUGGGAAAAUGAUGAGACAUAAACAGUGAUAUUCAAUAUUUUUUUGGGUGUGAAAUACCUGAGGAAGCAAAAUGCAGGAAAUUGAUAUUGAGAAAGAAGCUUAGACAAUUACGAUGUGACGCCAAUGAUGAUGACAAAUUGACAAUGAAGUAUACUAAUGCUAAUACUACUACGUUUACUAGUUGUAGAUAUACUCAUAAAUCUUAAUAACGUGGUAUACCCACCAUCCACCAUAAGCAGGUGUUGUGUAAGUAAUUAAAUUGUCACAAUCUCAUUUGGCUGUGGGAUACUUAUCUCCUCAAAUUCUAACUCUGUGGACAA